UACGUAGGGUGCGAGCGUUGUCCGGAAUUAUUGGGCGUAAAGCGUGCGCAGGCGGCUUCGCAAGUCAGACGUGAAAUCCCCGGGCUUAACCUGGGAAUGGCGUUUGAAACUACGGAGCUGGAGUGUGGCAGAGGGAGGUAGAAUUCCACGUGUAGCGGUGAAAUGCGUAGAUAUGUGGAGGAAUACCGAUGGCGAAGGCAGCCUCCUGGGCCAACACUGACGCUCAUGCACGAAAGCGUGGGGAGCGAACAGG
rnacentral:rRNA from 1 species